rnacentral:rRNA from 1 species
UACAGAGGCCCCAAGCGUUACUGAGAAUCACUGGGUUUAAAGGGUGCGUAGGUGGCGCGUUAAGUCCGUUGUGAAAUCCCUGGGCUCAACCCAGGAAAUGCUUCGGAUACUGGCGUGCUUGAGGCUAGUAGGGGUCACUGGAACUGACGGUGGAGCGGUGAAAUGCGUAGAUAUCGUCUGGAACGCCAAAGGUGAAAACAGCUCGCUGGGGUUGUGCUGACGCUGAGACACGAAAGCCAGGGGAGCGAACGGG